AGUAUUCAGACCCACGUUACGGGAGUCGGGGACCAUGCGGAGUGAUCUCGAGUACGGCCUCCCAGAGCCCUCAGGCCUGCACCCAAGGAGGAUCCGGCAAUUUCCAGGGAAGGCCUCAACUUCCGGAGCUGUCCCGCGACCCAGACUCUGAGCCCAUGAAGCGAGACAGGUUCUCACUAGGUAAUCAAGGCUGGCCUGGCAACGACCCUCCUGAAAACUUGUAUUUUUAAGAAAGCUGCAACUUACAGGAACACCCAAGGCUAUCCAUAUCAGCCUUCGAGUAAAUUUAGACUCCUGUUAUGCCCACAAUUCCUCAGGAAUGCUAAAAAUCCAUAAAUUAGCUUCACUGAGAAGUUAAGAAGCUGGAGAGCAAGAAUCUGAUCCCAACAUAAAGGAGCCAGUAGAGACAAUUCAAAGAAUGUUUUAGCUGAACACACUUGUUUAUAAUCCCAGCUCUUAGGAAGCAGAGGUAAGAGAAUUGCUCUGAGUUCAAGGCCAGCCUGAAUUACAUAGUGAGCUAACGGCCAGUUUGAACUGUAUAGUGAGACUCUGUCUCAAAAAAAAAAAGAAAAAAGACUGUUUUAAUUACUAAACGAAAGUCCGUACCAGUUCAGUACAAUGAUCUGAUACCUUUGGUGGGGUGAGGGAAGAUGAACACCUUUUCCUUGGUUUCCAACCCUUCAAGAAGUAUAAUGUUUCCCCUUCCAGGAAAUAAUGCAUCUCAUUUUUCUGAGGGCUCACAUUUUGCUCACAAGUGUAUCCUAAAUCUCUUAUAAAUCCUUUAUCAGAGUUUAUCUCUCCGAUGCAAUCCAAUGACAGCCCCUUCAGCCCACUUUUUCUUACUCAACAGAUCCCAUUUUCCAAAGAACACAAUGCAGCAUUGCAAACAUGAGACUAUCCCACUAGCCCCAGGCCCUAGCCCCUCAAGCCUGGCCAGGAGCUAGAAUACUGGGGCCAUCCCACAGGGCUCCCUGCUCAUGCCCACCCUGAGGAGGCAGACCAAAGUUCAACCCCAAGAAAGAUGCAGAACCCAGCCUUCCUCAGCCUCAUGGUUCUUUGCAACCUGCAAGCCUCCUGACCGCACAAAAUACCCUUCACUCUCUCUUCCUGCUCUUGAGCUGCUGGACAGGUUGAUACAGGAGAACUAUAAGUAUCAGUCUAUUAGAUAUCAUGCAAUGGCAAGCAGAAACAGUGAAAAGACACCUAGGAUUUGGAGGUAGAUUUAUUUACGUCAAUCAGCACUGAUGGGGAUCAUUCCUAGAAUAUCAGGCCAGGCUCUCCAGUGAUCUAGGGUUUUUAUAUGAUGUACAAGGAGGAGUUACAGAGGAGAGACAGAACAUCCUGGCAGUUCUGAUUAGCUAGCAGGGUGAAAUCAUCAGUCACAAGAGUAGAUUAAUGAUCAUCAGUUCUUGAAGUUUGGUACAGUAAUACAAUCAGGCAUCCUGCAUGUUCCGUUAUACGUUUGUGUUUACAAGGGUCAAGAAAGUAAUUACAAAAGCUAUGUAAGCAGUUACAGAGCCAGGUAGUUUCAAAAGAAUAAAGUUUUUAAAAGAACAACUUCUCUUAUACAGUUUUUCCCUUUCAGUCAAAUUUGCCAAGUUUGUGGUCUUUGACAGCAACGAGUCACAUCUAUGUGGCCACAGAAAUUUGAGGUUCAGAUAUGCACAGAGAGAGCCACACAUUGCUUUUUAAAAGAUAAAAACAGGGGGCUGGGGAUUUAGCUCAGCGGCAUAAGCACCUGCCUUGCAAGCAGGCAGUCAUGAGUUCGAUCCCCAGUACCGAUAAAAAGGAAAACAAAAAAACAAACAAACAAAAAAGAUAAAAAUAGGGGGCUGGGGAUUUAGCUCAGUGGCAUAAGCGCCUGCCUUGCAAGCAGGCAGUCAUGAGUUCGAUCCCCGGGACCGAUAAAAAGGAAAAAGACAAAAAAAAAAAAAAAAAAAAAAAAAAACCAGAUAAAAAUAAAGUACUGGGUGUGAUGGUACAUGCCUGUAAUCCCAGCACUGGGGAGGCUGAAGCAAGAGAAUUGUUGCAAGUUUGAGACCAGCCUGGGCUACAAAGUGAGCUCAGAGCUAACCUGAACUGCACAGCAAGACUUUGUCUCAAAAAGAUCCCCCCAAAGAAGAUAGAAGUAAAUUGGCUAUAAAAAUACAGUACUAGGUAUGGUGAUGUACCCCUAUAAUCCUAACAGGAAGCUGAGGCAGGAGGAUCGCUGUGAGUUCAAAACCAGCCUGAGCUACAGAGUGAACAUGAACUAGCAUAAACUACAUAGUAAUACCCUGUCCAGAAAAAAAAAAAGGCAAGGGGCUGGGCAUGGUGACACACACCUGUAAUCCCAGUACUCCACAGGCUGAGGCAGGAGAAUCACCACAAAUUCCAAGACCAGUCAGCCUGAACUACAUAGUGAGACCCUGUCUCACCAAAAAAAAAAAAAAGGAAAAAAGAAAAGAAAAAAAUCAGCAGAUAUAAGCAUAGUCAAAUAAUAUAUUACCACACAAUGAGACAGAGAUGAAAGAUGAAAAGGACUCCUCCAGGAAAGGAUCUUGCAUGAGGUGAAGCUUUCCACAAGCAAGAGAGAAAACGUCAUGCCACAGCCAGUUUCUCAAUUCCUUAAGUACUGUGUAGACAAAAGUGACUUGGUACUAACAGGCCUGUGUGGCUGGAAGGAGUGUUCCUAGGCUUAGCCAGCUCUGGGAGCCAUUGGUCCUUCAGUUGUUCAGUUAUCUCUAUAUACUCCUUUCCCAGGGCCACUUAGCUAAUACUGACCCAAUAGAAAAGCAAGUCAUGUAAUGAGGAUACAUGAAAAGAACAAAGGCAUUCUGGGGAUAGGAUGGGUCUAGAUGGUCUGGCCACCCACCUGCGCAACUGAGGCCUAUCUGGACUUAAUGGAGCAGGUGGUACUAAUUACUGUAUAACUUCAUGUUACUGUUUAUCCCUUGGGAAGGCAUGUAGUCCUAGCUGUUACAUAUAUAUCUUGAGACAUAGCCUUAUUCAGAUGCAUUUCCAAUCACAAUUCUGACUUAUUUUAUUUAUGUGGUUGGUUGAGGAUUUUGGGGGGGGUUUAUUUUGUUUUUAGACAGUCUUGAUAUGUAGUCCAGGCUGGCCUUGAACUCACUAUAGAGCCCACACUGGACUCAGACACAUAGCAGUCCUUCUGCCUCAGCUUCCCAAGUGCUGGGAUUAUGGGUGUGCACCACCUUGCCCAAUUUGAUGUCUUUAUUUUUUGUGCUGAUUUUGAGGGCCUAGUCUCUCUGACUGUAUAUUAAUUUCUAACUUAGCUACCUAUAAGAAGAUGACCUCAGGUGACCAUGAGUUUUCCCUUCACUAGAUUUAACAUAAACCAUAUUCCUCAGCAGCUCAACUUCCAGAGCCAAAAAUAAGUGUAUCUGGGGACCUAAGGCAGAGGCAGCAGGCUGAGGGUGGAGGUUGGCAGAGAAGACACCUAUGCAGUAAUGUCCAAGGAAGACCCCUGGUGCCAGGUCAGGUCAGGCUCUCAGGCACAGAGGAGAGAGGGUCCCAGCACCUGUCGAGAGUCAGCUGUAUGCAAAGUCCUAAUAUUUCCAGCUCUACUGCUGUCUUUAGUACUGAGCUCGGGAUCCUCCCUGGGGCUCUAUAGCCUGCUCACCUUUGGGACUCCCCACCUCUGCAGGGCCUCAAGCCUGUCCAGGGCCCUGGAAUGUGUGGCUCUUCUCUAUCAACCUAGCCCCCCAUACCUGGCCACAUUCUCCCAUUCAGAAUCUCCCAGGUACAUGAUUUCUUUGGGUCCUGCUGGCUUAGGGGAUCUCAGGCAGCAGCGCCUGGAAGGGAGCUUCUAUCACAGCUGUGUCCUUGGGGGCUUGGGCCUCUACCACAGUGAACACUGUACCUGUGGCUGGGUUUCAGAGAUGUGCAAGGGAGAAGGGUCACCCAGCAUGGUGGCCACAUGCACCUGCAUCCACCCUCACUUGCUGGGACCCGGCUGCCCCUGCCAAGCACAGGCCAGCCUUCCAAGGCCUGUUCUCCAGGCCCAGAGCUGCAGGGCCUAGCCUACCCACCCAUUUCUCCUACUCUGCGACUUACUCCCUGGACCAUGGCAUCUGACUUCCAGCACCAACAACAGGUUCCUUCUCCCAUCAGGCCAGGGAGUAUGGGAAAGACCAGGGGUUGGUGGGGGGCAGUACAAGUGUGCCCCAUCCCAGACCCUCAGAGUCACUUAGCCAUCUCCAAGGCUGGUCCACCCCCAAAAUGUCAUCCUCCUGGGCCAAGGAGCCAUUGCUGCUACAUGGGCCAGGGCCAGGAGCUCUGCUGAUGGAUCUGAGUGGGAGCCCUGACAUACACCAAGUGCUGGCCAAACACUUGGGACACUACCUCUGUGCCUCUCUGGAAAAGGCAGCUUCCUCUGAGAUAGGCAGUUUCUGCCUAUAUGGACUCUCAGAUCCUAGGCCCUGACCAGGGCAUGGUAGGUAGCUCUGAAGACACAUCAUCGAGGCCUGGGGAAGCUGGGGACAGGGGCUAUCUGAGUCUGCUAGACCACUCAUGCUUGCUCUGCAGUUGUCCAAUCCCCUGGGUGGCCUGAAACCUGUCCUUGCAGGGAGUGGCAGCUGAAGCCUGAGCUAUCCUGGGGGACCAGGCAGGAGCUUAAGUCAAGUGGGAUGGAGCCUGGGCAGGAAGACUCAGGCAUGGUGAGUGGCCCAUGGGUAUCGGUGAGAAGCACAGACCCCAUGGGUACCCUGGUGACAAUCUGGGGCAAGAUGAAGGUGAGUCUGGACCUUCAAGAAACCCUGAUACCCAUCAUAGCAUCCCUUUUCCCUGGAACCCUCCAGGGCCACACACAGCAAGACAGUCUUAAGCACCAUGCUCUGCUAGGGCUUCAGGGAUUGUUGUGCUUCCUCCUGCACAUAGGAUUGGGGACAGCAUAUUUCCUGGGCCCCUCCAGUAGCAAGUAGAGCCCCCUUACUGUCUGAAUUAAGAUUCCCAAAUCACAGCAUGCCACUGAAGUUCCUCCAAUAGUGCUUAGGAACCCUCAGCCUUCCCAAGGAAGCUGUGGUACCUUGUGUACCCAGUGGGCUUCCUCUAAGUCUUCUCCAACUGUGUGCAGACCCAGAUCCAGGAGUUUAAGGAGGCAAGCCCCUCUCCCACCAGGAGCCCCUGAUCCAAUGUUGGCUGACUAUCCCUGGGUGAGGAGGCAGAGGCAGAGGCAGAGGCAGUCAGCCAUGGCCCUAAGGGCCUGCCUUGGUUUCUAGGCAUUCGCACCCAUGGGUCAGAGCCAGGAGGGCUUCAUUGACGAGGAUCUGAAAGGCAUCUAUACCUCUCUCGGUGGGCAUGUGCAGGAGGCAGAAUGGAUGCCCUUCUUCCUCUGCUAAGCAAAGGCACUGGCCCUGACAGCUGGCUAUUGCCCCUCAGGUCAUGAGAGGAGUCUCACCUCCUCCAGGAGGGAGACCUGCCCCUGGUUGCCUAGAGCUGGUGGGGCAUCCAGGUGGACAAGACCAGUGGGCCAGCCAGAGCAUUAGUGCCUGGGAUGGGCAUAUGGACCUGGGAGAGGUGCAGGGGCCCAUCACUCCCUCAGAGCUCAGCAGUCCCUCCACCAGCAGAGCCUUUGCCUACCUUCUUCUGGCCCUGCCCUGAGAACUGGGAAGUAGUCUGGUUUCUCCCCAGGGUCCGGGUCCAAGGUGAAUGCCUUCCUUCCUGGCUUACCUUAUGUCUGCAGCAGCUCCCGGCUUGCCCCACUCUGCCUCUCCCUCUCCACCACAGCCAGUGUCCCCAGCUUGAGAUUGGGGAAGGGAACCCCUCCCUCUCCAGGCCUUACACCCCAGGGCUGAGGGCCUUCUCUUUUUUGUCUCCUACUACCCAGUACUACUUUGGGAUCACCUGAAAAAUGACUGCAUGGCCAGCCCCAUAGGGUCACCUGGCAGUCAACAGAGAUCACGCCAUGGUGUUCCUGCACUGUGGUACUGCACCCUGCCUGACAGGCAAAACCAGCAAGGAUGACAAGCUGGAUGCCAAGCUCAAGGAGGCUUUAGGGACCUCAACCCCACCAUGUUCCUAAGCUUAUUUGGGGAGAAGCUGGCCAGUGAAACCUCUGUGUUUGUUCAGUUAGCACCUAGCACCUAGAAAUCCAGAUGUUUCACCAAAAAAGCCUAUUUUCCAGCUCCUAAAAAGCCUGGGACCAAUCCUGACAAGGCCUGAGCUCCAGCUGUGUGUGGCCUCUGUCCUGUGCUCUCAACCCCAUCCCACCCCCACCCCCAGGCCUGGGCUAAAAUGACAGGGAGGCCUCCAACAGUGGGCAUGGGCCUGGAGCCCUGAGCAGGUGGCACUCUGAGGUGUCCAUGCAGUGACACCAAGAUGACCAUCCUAAAUGCCAUGAUGCUGGAUCCAGCUGGCAAAGGCAGCAUCCACAAGAAGUAGUGAGUGUUGGCUUCCUCAGAAUCCCCAACCCAGGGUGUGUGGAGCAUGCUGCCCAGACAGGUCCAGACACUUCCCAUUUUUCUUUCCCCACUUCCCAUUCUUCAAGGGCCAUUCAGAGACUCCAAGAGCCUAGUCCUUGGGUAACUUAGUGAGAGCCCAGGGAUGGAGGGCCUGGUGUCAGAUUCUCCAGCUUCUGCUCAGCCCUUUGCAGUUUUGUGGGCUGGGUCUCCUUGGGCCAGGUGCAGGGAAAAAUUCCAGCAGCCUCUGACCCCAUCAGCUGCUGAGUGUCCAUGGGUACUGGUGAUCAUCAGAUGGCCAGGAGUGCAUGGAGGUGGGGUUCAGAUGCGACAAGCCCCACGGGGGAGCUAGGUGGGCACUUCCCUCCUCAGCAUCAAAUGGCUGCAGUUGUCCCCAGCUGCCACUAAGGUGCCUGUACCCCACUCCACCCUCCUGGGCUCUGAAGACCAAACAUGUAGGGGGCACCCCUGAGUGAGUCAGAAGGCUCUGCAGUGCUGCUCUGGGCAGGACAGAGGGCACUCAGACUUGGGGAUCUCUCUAGGGGGACGGAGCUGACUAGGGAGCACUCAAAUCAGAGCUGGAGGCUGUCCUGUCCAAGGGGCUGGACUCAGAGCAGGGCCAUCUCACCCUAGCCCAAAUCCACACCCCAGAAUCAAUGCCACCUGGGAUUCCUGCUUCUCCCAUAGUGCCCAAAGACUGGGACUGGACACUUGGCACCUCUGAAUUAGAGACUAGUGGCCUGAAGCACUACGGUCCUGGGUCUGUGUGCUCCACCCCAUCUCAUGCUGUGUCCACUCCACCCUACUCUACCCUACCUCUCCACGCUGCUCUUCCCUACCUGUCCCACUCUCCCACUGAGCCCUGGGUCCCCCAGCUAGGCAGUAGCUCAUCCCCACCCUGGCCCUGCCCCGGCCUCCUGCCAUGCCCUUUGCGGCCCAGUCCACCAAGAAACACCACCUGGAGGUGCUGAGGUCUGCCACCUGUAUUUGGGCUGCCAGGCUUGACCAACCUGCCACCCCCACACCUACUCCAGGUGAACCAGUUGCUGGAGUUUGCCUCCAUAGAUGCGGCAGGCAACCUGGACAACAAGGUGCUGAGCUACGUGUGCACCUGUGGGUAGGAGUGAGCCAGGCCAAGCUGCCUAGCUCAAUAAACAUGGACCCAUGACCCACCUAUGUAUGUCCCUUCCACAGGGACCCUGGCACCCGCUCACCCACCUCUCCAACCUACCCAGAACCCCCCCCCCCUUGCAAGCACCACCCGCACUGUCCUGUACUGGUCACCUGGGUCGACUGGGUCCAGGUCUAUGCAGCAGGGCUCUUCAGGUUGCAGCCCCAGUCCACCUGGGGUCCCAGGGACAUCCUGCCUCGCCCAAGGUGUCCAGGACUUGAGCCAGUCCCUCCUCUCAGAUCAUGGGCUGUACACCAAGGUGGCCAGGCGCCCUCGCCCACCUCCCCUCAUACGUGUCCCUGGUCACAGUCCCUGAGAAUCCGGGGGUCUUCCAGUGGAAUGGGCAGGAGCUUCCUGGGGAGCUUUGGGGGGUAGCUUUGGGGUGGGAUUUGGCAUCCUGGGUGGAGGGAGCCCUCCAGACUCAGCCUGUAGGCGCCGAUAUGGGGUAUGGAAGAAGAGCACCAAGACGCAGGUGAAGAGGGUGCACAGGCCAGCCAUCAGCAGCAGGGAAACUGGGGACACAAACACAGCUCUGUCCUUGGCAGUCACAUUCCCCUGACAGUGGAGUCUGGGUGGUCUCAAUGAUGGAAUCCCUGGCAGUUCCAAGUCAGUUGUAUGCUCCAACAGUGGUGACCACAGGGACAUCUAGGACACAGCCUCACUCCCGGGCCCAACAUCUGGGGUGUGUUCAGCCCCAGAACCCCAGAUGUGGGUGUGCAGUGCCCAACUAUCCUCUCUGUCUCUGUGUCUCUGUCUCUUAUCCCAUCUCUGUCUCCUUUCCUCCUUUUCCCUCUCAGAGCUCUGGUCUCUCUCUCUCUCUCUCUCUCUCUCUCUCUCUCUCUCUCUCUCUCUCUUUUCCAGGUAUUAAAAUAUGUUCUAAGGCUGUGUUUUUGCCCACAUCUUCAGCUAACCGGCUGAGCCCAGAGGUCUUUGAGCCCACCAGGCAUCCACCCACCAAAGAGAGGGAAAGGUAGCAAAACAUGGGGGGAAUCUUCCUAGGUUGGACCAGAGCAGUCCUCCUUAUCUCUUUGCUGUGGCUCUGUGGGGUCCUGGGCCAUAGGAUGAUGGACACUUACCUGUCCAGUCUAAUGAGUCUUCACCAUGCUGGCACGUGGAGAAGGACAGAUCUGUGCGCUGCACAGUCAGUGCUGUCAGCAGCACCAUGAUAAGCACACCCUCAGCCUGCCUGGAUACAUAUGGCCCUCAGUCCAGGCACUACCCAAGCUCCAGAGCAGGAUGCUAUGCUCAGGAUGGGUACACAGCCUAAAGAGGGAAAGGGGAGGGACACUCACCCCAGUACAAAGACCAGGCCUGUAGCGGCUCCCUCACCCACAGGGAAGGAGCACUCGAUAGCCAGCUCCAUGGCCACAGGUGCCACUGCAAAGCCAAAGAGUCCAAAUAGGGAGCAGAUGACAGCUAGCACAAUGGCCUGUCCCUGCAGCUGGGCCACC